GUGUACAUUUCUUCGUUUCUUCUUUGCUGUUUUCAGUGAGUGUUUUGUUUUCUCUUUGUCCUUGAUCUCGACGGCGUUGUCGUGCUCAUUACCUUACUGAGACGUCUCUUGUGACUGUAGCCAGUGUCACGGAGGAUUUUAUUGGCGUGACGAGGUAGAUCGCCGAGAUCGAGCGUGAAAAACGCUCUGCAUUAGUAGCUCCUGUAGAAUGUCUUCUGGGAUGGCGUAUCCAUGGUCAACAAAGCCAAGGUGCAAGACAGCAUAAGAGAUCGUGUAAACGAUGUGAACUCCAAAAGAUAAUCUGGACAAAUAAAUUAUAUUGUAACUGGAGAGUGCAAUCGUGCUUGGGACCCAUCCCAAUAUCAUCACAUGGCUGUGGUGACUAGUGUAUACCUGGGAGAGUUUUUCCUCAACUGAGACGGAGUGUAGGUGGAUGGAUUAUGAGAAAUGCGAAGAUGUGGAGUUCAAGGCUAGAUGCACUUCACAUUCGGCGUGGGAUCUCGGCGUCUGGGACCUGAUAACGUCUUGGUUGGAUGGGUAAUCAAUGAUGAUACUACUCGGCACACCAAUGUACAUGUCAUGUAGUUUUUACUUUUUCAAAGCUGCACUAUUUACGUCUUGAUGCUUACUUCGGUGCUAGUGUCGUGUCCGUGUGUUGCUACAAUGUCAUUAUCUGUAUUGUAUUC